GCUACUGGUGAAAGUGCAGCAAAGUUGUUGCAGAAGAUCAUGGCAUUUUUGAAAUGGGAGUACGAUGGGAUGACCACCAAGGACAGCAACAGGUGUGGCGUGGAGACAGUCUGUAUGUGCAGCAGAGGGAGGAACCAGAGAAGUGACCCAAGCCCUUUGGAGGAACCUGAGAGAAGAGGAUCCAAUUACUGACAUGAAUAUGAAUCUACUGCUGAGCUCUUUAUCCUAUCCCACUGGUGUACUGGUCUACCCUUGUGGUAGGGCGAUACACUGUUAGUGGCUAGAGGUUAUAGAAGAAAAGGCACUGGCCAGAAGUCACAGUCACUAGGCACCAGUCCUUGCCUUGCUUCUGAGGACAUGGGACACUACAGUCAGCCUUUUAAUGUCUACAAGUCUCCAGCUUACCCAUCUGUCCAGUAAGAACUUGGGCAGUGACCUACAGUGAAGAAAGGACAUUCUUCAAGAUAAAACGAAAGUAAUUCCAGAUGGAAAGAAGAAAUGAAGAGUAAUGGAAACAAACAUAAAAGCAAUUAUAAUAUAUGUAGUCAUAAUUUAACACUGAUUAUAUAAAAUAACUGUCAGAUACAGCUAUAUACAACUAUGAUAUUCUAAAUGGGAUACGGCAAAGGAAACAAAAGUAUUCUGAACUUUUUGCACUGACCAGAAAAAGGGUCUUGUAAUUUGCAGGGAAGCUCCUAAAAGAAGAGAAGAUGCAUGUGACUUGUAAGUUUGUGUGUUUGGAGUGAGUGUAUGGCAUAACAAAGCACUACUCAAAUAUAUUUUAAAGAAAGCAAGAAUGAAGAAAGGAAGAAAGGAUCAUUAAUAGAAAAAUAUAUAUUUAAAACUAUACAUCAGAGGUACAAUAAGUGCUCUAAUGAGAAGGCAAAGACUUUCAGACUGAAUAAUAGCUCUAUGUGUUUACAAGAGGAACAUCCAAAAAUUAUGGAACAGAAGAUUAGAAAUAAGAUUGACAAAGGCUUUCUCAGGAAUAUUUUUUUUAAUAUUUUAUUUAUUUAUUUUAUGUAUCAGUGUUCUAUCUGAAGAGGACAUCAGAUUUCAGUAUAGAUGGUUGUGAGCCACCAUGUGAUUGCUGGGAAUUGAACUCAGGACCUCUGGGGAAGCAGACAGUGCUCUUAUCCACUGAGCCAUCUCUCCGGCCCUCUCAGGAAUAUUUUUAUCAUCGUAGAUUUUCAUACACUUUAUAAUGUACUUUGAUUUAUGGAAAUUAGACACUGAUACACUUAUAAAGAAAUAGGAAACUCACAUGUAUUGUGGGAAUAUUUUAUUCACAGCUCAAUAAUUGAUAGAACAAGCAAAUAUUUUUCAAUAGAAAAACAAGAUUUAAACAUGAUCAAAACCUUCACUAUAAACCUGACAAACUACAAACUUGUUUAUAAAACUUGGCUUCUAUGUUUUAUUUAGAGUAGCUCAGAAUUUACAUAUUUUUAAAAUUUAUGUAGCAUUAAAAAAAUAAAACAGAGCAUAAACUGGGCCAUAUAUCAUGCUUUAAAAAUUUCAAAGAGUAAUAGCAUGCAGAGCACAUUAUAGUGAAAAAUUGGUUGACUUUAUAAUGUAAGGCCUUGCUACAGAGAA